CGGGAUCAUGAUUUUUGCAUUUGAUCGAGAAAGUCUUUCUCCUUUUACCAAAGAUUUCCCUGCAAUAGAGCGUUUCUACAACUACUUAUUAAUUUUUAGAGUCCCCUCGGAAGAGCGGGAU
rnacentral:snRNA from 1 species